rnacentral:tRNA from 1 species
AUAGCUCAGUGGGUUCAGAGCAUCCCGACUUAUAAGUCGGGAGAGUCACAGGUUCGAAUCCUGUUGUCCCCA